rnacentral:rRNA from 1 species
UACGUAGGGUGCAAGCGUUGUCCGGAAUUAUUGGGUGUAAAGAGCUCGUAGGCGGUUUGUCGCGUCUGCUGUGAAAACCCGAGGCUCAACCUCGGGCCUGCAGUGGGUACGGGCAGACUAGAGUGCGGUAGGGGAGAUUGGAAUUCCUGGUGUAGCGGUGGAAUGCGCAGAUAUCAGGAGGAACACCAAUGGCGAAGGCAGAUCUCUGGGCCGUAACUGACGCUGAGGAGCGAAAGCAUGGGGAGCGAACAGG